GGAGGUGGCUCUGUGUGGUGCUGUCCCUCACCCCUUCCUUGCUGUCCCCGACCCUCAGCCUCAGGCUGCAGACCUUGCUGUGCCCCAUCUGGAAUUCUUGAUCAUGGCGCUGGCAUGGCUAGCUCCCCCACUCCUUCCAGUCCGCUGGAUGCCACUUUCUCAGUGGGGACUUCCCUGGUCCCUGGUUCCCUCUUCCAUCUUUUUGCCCAGGUGUGAGCUGCUGCUCCCAGGCUCCUGUGAAUGGAGGACAAUAAUCUUACACACUCAGCUGGUUGGCAGGCAGGGCUGAGCCUGUGGCGAGUCUGUAUUUUUAUUACUGUUAUUGUCAUGUGGGGCUGGGUGGUGCUGGGCAGGUGCCAUGAGAAUGUCAGGCAGGAGUGAUCUCCCACAGGGGGCACCUUAGCUGAGACCUGGGGAAGAGAGGGUUUUCUGGCCAAGGACAGAGUGGAGAGAUGAAGACAGGUUGCCACCAAGCAGUGGUCAGAUUUCAUGACAAUGGCGCACGCAGGAGAAGGAUCCUGAGCUGCCACGUCAGGGAUUCACUCAGGGCAGGAGGAGGAUCUGUCUCAGACUCAACACAGAAAACCUCUGGUGGAGGACCCUCAGAGGGGCUGGUGACUGUUUCCAAAUCAAGUCAUGCCAUCAUUAAAGUUCCCCGGAUUACCUCCAGAGCAUUUUAUUAGAACACAAUUCCGACCUAGAAGGAAAUUCUGCCCAGACCAGGCGAGGGGCAAUUUCCAAGAAACUACAUGGAGUUCGGAGCAUCUUCUCCAGCAGAUCCAAUAUGUGGUCCUCCAAGUGGCAGCCUGGGGACUCACGGCCUGACGGCCAGGAUGCCCCGUAGAUCUGGUGCAGGUCAGCUGAGGUGGGCUGAGAGCCGGCUGCCAUUUUACAGGCCCAAGGGCUUGAGGAAGGCAUGUGAGUCACAGCCCAGCCUCCAGGAGGAGAAGGCUUAGACACCAGGACAAGUGCACCCUUUUGCAAAGUCUCGAGGCAAGGAUACUGGAGGAAGAUGAUCCUGCAUUGGGUGGACAUGAAGGCACUCGGUUUGGAUGGAUGCACUGAGCAGCAGGCCAAUGCAGCAUUACCUGCAGAUGCCACUCAGAAAGUCCAGUUGGCAACUUGGGCAGGGAGGGCGGCUCUCUGCUCCAUCUAGUCAUUCAGGGAAGUGCUGCCAUUGUUGACAUGAUGAUUUAAGGUCAUCAGGGGAGGGUGAAGACAGCACAAACAGGACUGGGCCACAGGCGUCUGCAACCUACACCCAGACCCUAGCUUUUACAGUCAGGGAGGUGAGAGGUCAAGAAAGAGGGAGGC